rnacentral:rRNA from 1 species
UACGUAGGGGGCAAGCGUUGUCCGGAUUUAUUGGGCGUAAAGAGCGUGUAGGCGGCCAGGUAGGUCUGCUGUGAAAACUCGAGGCUCAACCUCGAGACGUCGGCGGAAACCAUCUGGCUAGAGUCCGGAAGAGGAGAGUGGAAUUCCUGGUGUAGCGGUGAAAUGACGCAGAUAUCAGGAAGAACACCCGUGGCGAAGGCGGCUCUCUGGGACGGUACUGACGCUGAGACGCGAAAGCGUGGGGAGCGAACAGG